AGGACGAACGCUGGCGGCGUGCUUAACACAUGCAAGUCGAACGAUGAAGGGACUUCGGUCCCGGAUUAGUGGCGAACGGGUGCGGAACACGUGAGAAACCUACCCUGGAGACCGGGAUAGCGGCUGGAAACGGCCGGUAAUACCGGAUACCUUCACGACGUCGCAUGGCGAUGUGAAGAAAUGGAUUCCGCUCUGGGAGGGUCUCGCGGUCUAUCAGCUUGUUGGUGAGGUAAUGGCUCACCAAGGCUACGACGGAUAGCUGGUCUGAGAGGACGACCAGCCACACUGGGACUGAGACACGGCCCAGACUCCUACGGGAGGCAGCAGUGGGGAAUCUUGCGCAAUGGGCGAAAGCCUGACGCAGCAACGCCGCGUGGAGGAUGAAGGUUUUCGGAUCGUAAACUCCUUUGGAUGGGAACGAAAUGACGGUACCCAUAGAACAAGGACCGGCCAACUACGUGCCAGCAGCCGC
rnacentral:rRNA from 1 species